CCACUACACUAACAUUUCGUGUAUAUUUCUUCGAAUCUUUUAUCAACUUAUGGAUUUGUUUCCUUGUCUUGCAGGAAGUUUUUGAGGAUGCUUGUCAGAGACACUCAUGAAGGGAUUUGAAUACUUGAAAAAGCAUACCUUUUUCCAUUAGAGGACACAAAAUAUCAGAAAUGAACGAGGAAGCAAAAAAAAGGGAAAAAAGAAAAGAAGAAAAGGAGGAAGUAGCGAUGUAAGAAAAUGUACAAAGUUGUUUUUUGGCUGUUCAAAUUGCUGCCUUUCACUUUUGUUUUUGUCUGCACUUUUAUUUACAUACUUGUGAACAGCACCAUUGGCAAACCCAUUGUUAACUUCUUCCACUUCAAAUUGUGAAGUACCAAUUGGCACCCACGAGCUCAGGAAUUAUUGUGAACCUUGGUUUGUCAUGCUUCUCUGCUAGGUUUGAGGUGAUCAAAUAUAUAAAAGAGUUUUCCAUUUCAAUUCUUUUUCCAAUAAAAUUUGGGUGCGUCUGUCUAUUUGUUCUCCACUUGAAUCUUCAUACAAUCCAAAAUGACAUAACCAUAUUAAAUUUCCUGAAUGUUACCCUACCCAUAUUUUCUAUCAUUUUGUGUCUUGUUGGACUAUUGGAGUAUGUUUUUUCACCUCUUGCUUUGAACAAGUAAAUUGUAAGUUAUAAAAGACUUGUAUAAGUUCACACAAUGCUAUAAAUAAGUUAGCACAUAUUCUGGUUAUGUGCAAAGAAGAAUACACUAGUAUAAGUUCUGUCCUCUGUCUUUGGUUUUAUGCUCAUGAAUUAGCUUUGAUAUUUCCUCUUUGUUUAUUUUUGUUUGUUUGUUUGUUUGUUUGUUUGUUUUCUCCAGUAGAUUCGUGUUGUGCUUCUUUACCUCACAUUCCUUCAGUAGGGUUGGUAUGUUAAGGUUAAUUGUUUGGGCAGUUGAAAGGCAGUAAGGAUAUUCAUGUUGGUUUACCUCCAUGGAUGUAUGAUCUACUCCUAGCUAAGUCUUUUUAGCUUUGCAGCUUUACUAUGGCAAACAAUAGCUUCUUCUCGCAAGCUAAGCUCCAGCUGGUUUUGGGGCUUCAUCAAGAAUUCAAUCAGCUUGCUCCUUUAUUUCUGAGAUGUUCGGUUUUUUUGCUAUUCUACUAGUUGUAGUCCUUCGUAGUUCUUGUGAUUUUAAAGUUUUUAUUCAAAGCUCUAUUUUCCUGUUUUGUUUGUCAUGUUUAGGUGGUUAAACUCUUGUACUUGGUCUCUUUUAUCAAUGAAGUUCAUAUUGGAGAUAAGAUUAUAUUGUUAAAGAUAUAAUAAAUUUCCACUUCAUCAAAGGCAAUAGAUUUUGUCUGCAAUUUGUAAGAUAGUACUUGAAGGGGAAAAAAGAAAGAAAAAGAAAAGAAAGAAGUAUAGAUGAAAGAUAUUGUACAAAGUUGAGCUUUGGCUGUUUGGCUUUGUGGGAUGGGCUUUUAAUAAAGCUCUAUUAGCUAUUGAAGGCCGGCAAUUGCUUAUUCAAAUUUUCUUCAAGGUAGCUUGAGUAGUAACCCAAUGUUUAUUUGGAAUGCAAAGUCUUUUCUGGAGGCUGGGCUGCGUUGGUGUGUUGGGAAUGGAUUCCAAGGCCUUAUCUUACAAACCUAUUUUUGUUUUCAGAGUCCUCCAUGAUGCUGAUGCUAAGGAUUUCUCUUAUUUAUGAAACUCUGAUCAAAUAGUGCUUUUUGGAUUUUGAAGUUGAGUUGAUAUGUAAAAUCCCUCUUUGCCCAAGGCUUGCUCAUGACAUACUGGUUUGGCACUUCACUAAAAAUGGCCUUUUUUCUGUUAAGUUGGCAUAUAUCAUUUGGAGACGGUUUUGCAAAGAAGAGAAACACGGAUCAGCUCAGAUGAUGGGAGAUUUGAAAGGGCAUUUUCAAUGAAGAUUUGGCAGCUAAAAAUUCCGAAUAAAGUGGAAAUCUUUGCAUGGAAAACGUGUUCAUAUAUCCUCCCUGUUCGACCAAACUUGAUUGAUAACAGGUGCAAGGAGUUUAGCCUACAGAUGGAUGUAUUGGCUUUGGGAUUAUUUUUUUUCACUUGUUGGAGUAUUUGAUACAAUCGCAAUGAUUGGGUUUUUAAUAAGAAGAGUUAAUCAGCAGAGGAGGUGGCUAGGUAUGUGGCUGAUUACUUACAAGGUUAUACCGAUACACAUACACAGCUCAAGGUGGCUGCUCCUGUUCAACAAAAAGAGUGCCCAGUUGGAGGCCCCAGGUGGAGGGCGUGUUUAAAAUCAAUUUUGAUGGUGCUCUUUUGAAGUGUUGGUGUGAUUGUUUACAAAGUGGAGGUAAUUGUAACAGUAAUAGUUUGCCAGGGUUUUGGGUCUUCAUGAUGUUCAGAUUGAAGGGGAUUCCUUUAACUAUGAUGUUUGCACUACUAAAAGUUUUGUUGAGCACGCUGUACCAGCUCUGGGGGAAUGUGUUAUGCUUCAUUUUAAGGCCAUUCAGCUCACUAAUAAUUCACAACCAAAGAACGUCGGGAGGAAAGAUGUCUCAGGUCAUAUUGAAGCCCUAUGCUCUGUGAUAUAAAGUUUUGCACUGGAGAUUUUGCCUCAGAAUUGUUGAGAUCUUUCAGUUAUUGGUGACAUUAGGGAGGAGAUUAAUAUACUUUGCAACGGCUUGAAUCCUUCAUGGUGUUCUUGGAAGGAAAAGAAGCAAACUGUUAGGCUAAUACUUUAGCAUUUGAGUCUCACAACACAGUGGAUGAAUCUUUUUUAUUAGUAGCUCGCCUGAUAUUUCCUAUUCUUCUAGAGUGUUCCUAUUAUUAGCUCUGUUUGAUUUAUCCAAACAAAAAAAGGUUAUUUGUGCAAGGCGUCCAACACCAUUCAACCUGCACACACUUCAGCAGUCAACACUCUGUGCGCUGUCGGCAUCUGAAGAUAAGUUUGAGCAACAUUAUGUAGUUGUCUUGGCAUUCACAGCUUUAUUACAAUUUCUUUCGCACUCCGAGUUGCAGAAUGUAAUGAGACAGUCAAUUUUUUCCUGGUAGAAACCACGACACUACUAUUAUCUUUCAUUGCUAGCUAGCUUACUAGUAGUAAUAGCACUUGUCAAAAACAAUUGGAGUUGUAGCGAUUUUUUAGUAUUAUAGCUGAAUCAACACAAUUUCUGUUUUAUCCA